rnacentral:rRNA from 1 species
AUUGAACGCUGGCGGCAUGCCUUACACAUGCAAGUCGAACGGUAACAGGUCUUCGGAUGCUGACGAGUGGCGAACGGGUGAGUAAUACAUCGGAACGUGCCCGAUCGUGGGGGAUAACGAAGCGAAAGCUUUGCUAAUACCGCAUACGAUCUACGGAUGAAAGCAGGGGACCGCAAGGCCUUGCGCGAACGGAGCGGCCGAUGGCAGAUUAGGUAGUUGGUGGGAUAAAAGCUUACCAAGCCGACGAUCUGUAGCUGGUCUGAGAGGACGACCAGCCACACUGGGACUGAGACACGGCCCAGACUCCUACGGGAGGCAGCAGUGGGGAAUUUUGGACAAUGGGCGAAAGCCUGAUCCAGCCAUGCCGCGUGCAGGAUGAAGGCC